CCAAGUGGUCGCCUUCGCGCCACUUUCUUAACCCUGUAAUCAUAUAUAAGAAGAUUCUCUUGACUUCAAAUGGGCUCUCCUUCGAUUCCCACCUCACUUUACGGCUCAUUUUGGUCCGCUAUUUGAAAAGUUUUUGGGAUAGUAGAGGUUUUAUUCGCCUCUUUUGUCGCCGUGAGAGCAGCACGGCAGCCCGAGCGAGUAAAGCGAAGAUGGUGGAUUUCGGCUGAUCCACCACGAGGUGCAGUGGACCCCAUGCUGUGGACACUUUUUUUGCUGUGGAGCAGUGAUGCAGUCUGUGCAUUGUCAAAGUGCUUACAGUGCAGGUAGUAGUAUGUGAUACCUACUGCAGUGGAGGCACUUACAGCAAUACACAGACACUUGUAUACAGGUUGUUUUGCUAUGUCAAUUGAAAUACUGUCUUUGUGCUAAGGUGCAUCUAGUGCAGAUAGUGAAAUAGACUAGCACCUACUGCCCUAAGUGCUCCUUCUGGCAUAAGGGGCUGUGAUAUACACCAUCAGGUCGUAAUCAAAAACUUCAAAUUGGGCACAUAUGUCUUGCAGUUCACUGCUAGUUUUGCAUAGUUGCACUACAAGAAUAGAUGAGUUGUGCAAAUCUAUGCAAAACUGAUGGUGGCCUGCUUGCUCUACAACUAUUUUGGAGUUGGAUUUUUAUUUUCAUGGAGGGGCUCACAUUUUACGUGUACCAUUGUAUUCUAUCAGUUUAAAAGCUUUACUGGUUUCCGGUGACUACAGUUUCUGCAGUACUAAAGUGCUUAUAGUGCAGGUAGUGUUUGUCCCCAUAUCUACUGCAAUGUAAGCACUUGAAGUAUUUCCAACUGUAUAUCUUCUCAGCUGUGACUGUAUACUCUGAAGACAAAUCUGUUAGUCGUUGCUUGGUCAGUUUUGCUGGUUUGCAUUCAGCUUUAAACAGAUGUGUGCUGUGCAAAUCCAUGCAAAACUGAUUAAGUUGACGGGCCACAGUCUUUUAAGUGGAAAUGUGUUCUGUCCUACUUGGCUGUCUUGGGAUGUCCUGUCCUAUUCAGGUGGGGAUCGGUGGCAAUGCUGUACUCCUUGAGGUAUUGCACUUGUCCCGGCCUGUAAAGGAGCGGGGAGAUUAGCUGACCUUUGCCAAACUGUUGCAUCCUUUAGAUGUCUGUAUUUUUUUUUUCUUUUCUUCCCAGUUGGGUAAUUGUAAGGUUGAUCAUUAAAAAUAAAAAAAUUUUCAGCAAAAUGAA